CUGAUCCCAGUGAAGACACAUAUACAGCUCUUGAGCUCAAGUCCACGACCUCUGACCUGUACGACACACUCACAACCGUUCGUCCCAGACCUCCUGAAGACUCUUGAUCCUAAACAUGAGAAUCCAUCAAUCAACAGGAAGAUGCUGCAGUGAGAGGCGGAGCACAAAGGAACCAAUCCUGAGCUCUGUGGGCGGAGCCACACAUGAUUGACAGCUGUCAUUACUGAAGAGUUGAUGAAGCCUUUUAUUUCUUUAUAGUUUAGGAAAGAUGAUGUA